rnacentral:rRNA from 1 species
GAUGAACGCUGGCGGUGCGCCUAAUGCAUGCAAGUCGAGCGACGCACACCGGAGGGGUAACCCACUGGUAUGACGGAGCGGCGAACGGGUGAGUAACACGUGAGCAACCUGCCCCACAGACCGGGAUAGCCCAGGGAAACCUGGAUUAAUACCGGAUACCCUCGGAUGACCACAUGGGAAACCGAGGAAAGGCCUUUGUGCUGUGGGAUGGGCUCGCGGCUUAUCAGCUAGUUGGUGGGGUAAAGGCCUACCAAGGCAUCGACGAGUAGCUGGUCUGAGAGGACGAUCAGUCACACUGGAACUGAGACACGGUCCAGACUCCUACGGGAGGCAGCAGCAGGGAAUCUUGCGCAAUGGGCGAAAGCCUGACGCAGCGACACCGCGUGGGGGAUGAAGGCCUUCGGGUUGUAACCCCC